AAAACUUCACCCAAAAAGCUUCAUCCAAAAAGUUUCACCCAAAAAGCUUCACCUAAAAAAGCUUCACCCAAAAAAAAAAAAAAACUUCACCUCCAAAAAGCUUCACCCAAAAAGCUUCACCUAAAAAAGCUUCACCCACAAAGCUUCACCUAAAAAGCUUCACCCACAAAGCUUCACCCAAAAAACUCCACCCGAAAAGCUUCACUUAAAAAAGCUUCAUCUAAAAAGCUUCACCUAGAAAGCUUCAACACCAAAGCUUCACCUACAAAGCUUCAACACAAAACCUUGCUCCAAAUAAAAAAAUUUUGUUCACAAAACCCAAGAUGCCCUUGAACUUGUACAAAAACACUUGGGUAAACAUAAA
rnacentral:lncRNA from 1 species